CUGCCUCAACAGUACUGGACCCUGGAGGGCGUCCAGGAGGUGUUCGGCGACAAGGUGCACAUCGAUCGGCUGGACAGCCGCACGCUGGAGCGCGGCCACACCAAGACAUUCGCGUGCUGGGUGUGGGUCUGGGACAUGGCGUUCAUCCCCACCCGGCACACCUGCUGGAAGCUCCCUCAGGGCGCCGGGCGCGUCGAGGAGAUGGAGGGCCACUCGCCGCCCGAUCGGCGUGUCGCCCUGCUGCCUGGCGCCGAGCGCUAUGACAUACUCAUCCAUGUCGACAGGGUGGAGGACUGGGCUCCCCGCUCUCCGCGCUCCUCCCACUCAGCUCAGAGCGGCCUGCCCUCCUCCGACUCCAACCACGACGAUAGCUUGCCGCGCUCCUACACGGGCACUUGGGUCAUGCAUGUGAAGGACGGCCAGAUGGAGGAGCGCCACCGUCGUCUGCAGCGUGCGCCGGUGGUGGACACGGGCUGCCGCGGCCUUCCUCGUGGUGGCCCGCGGCGCGACGAUGAGGGGCCGGGAGGCGGCGGCGGCCGGCGCUCCUGGAAGGAUACGUUGCUUGGGCGCGGGCGCGGCUCCAACGCCUGGUCUGGAGGGGACGGGGCCACCAGUAGGGUGCGCCAGCGCAGCCGCUCCCCCCCCCCACGCCGCUCUGGCAACUCAAAAAGCCGCGGCCAGCAAGGUGGCCGCGACCGAUCGUCCGGCAAGGCGUAUCCAAGCAAGAAGAAGAGCAGCAAGUAG
rnacentral:rRNA from 1 species